rnacentral:lncRNA from 1 species
CAUGAGAUGUAUGAGGAUGGAUUAAGAGGUGUGAGACGAGCUGGCUGCCCACCGCACUGCUGUUCACCACGCAUUAUGUUUAAUGACUAUAUGGACAUUAGUGACGAAGAACAAUAUGGACAAAAAGAAAGAAUCCCCACGUUGCAGCCGGGACAUUUUGACGGGACUGGUCCUUGGAAGGACUUCCUGUAUCAGUUUGAAAGCUGUGCAAAAGCCAAUCGCUGGACUGAAAAGACAAAAGCUGUUCAGUUGAAGUUCAGUCUGAGGGGUGCAGCUGGGGCCAUCGUCCACAAAAAUCCGAAAUCUGACCGCUGGAGCUACCUGCGCAUGGUGGAGGAGAUUGAAGCUGCCUACGGUCCGCGUUCCGAGCAUGCUGCAGCCAUCGGCAUUGAGCUGAGACAACGAGUCAGGAGACCAGGUGAAGCCUUGCACACCCUCAGAGAUGACAUUUAUGAAAAGGUCUCCAUUGUGUAUGCUAACCGCACAGAGUUGGAGCAAGACUGUAUAUGCGUGGAGGUCUUCACCAACGCCUUGGCCGACGCCGAGGUGGUUCAAAAGUUGCUAGAGGAGCGCCCCUACACCCUAGCUAAAGCCUAUGAAAUUGCACACCGCUACGAGACCACCAGGAGGGCUGCUAGGGCAGUCACACAGCUCAUGCGGCCAGGUGGGCGUGGUUUUGCAGCACAGGCAACCAGAACUGCUACAGUACGCGAAGCUGCUAACAUUCCAGUGUUUGAGCAAGUACCAGGGGCCACCAGAUUCAAUAAGCAGCAACGACCUUACCAAAACAAGUUUAAAAAGACAAACUUUAAUGAAGUCAUCUGUCACAACUGCUCCGGUGUAGGACAUUUAAAGCGAAACUGCCCCUCCCCUUAUCGAUCCACAAGGAGCCCUGGGAAUGCCACUUUCACUUCCACCCCCGACCCAAGCACAGUAGUUAUCUGUACUAAGAGCCCAGUAGAUGAGAUGUGUGUACAAAUAAUGAUUCAUGGACUAGAAAUCUGUGCUCUGCUCGACUCUGGUGCACGGAGGAAUGUCCUACCUUUGCAUCAUUUCAACUCCCUCCCUACUCAGUUCAGACCACCAGUGCAGCCAUCUGUUGCACAGAUUCUGCAAGGCAUUGGCCCUGAAGGCUUAGUUGUUUUGGGUGAAGUAAUUUUACCAGUGCACAUUGGAAACAGCAUCACCCAAGUUAACUUCAUCAUGGCGGACACCACCCAAAGCACCGAGGUCAUCCUGGG